GGUGCUUGCAUCAUGAUUUACAUUUGAGUGAGUGGCGAACUGGUGAGUAACACGUGGGAAACCUGCCCAGAAGCGGGGGAUAACACCUGGAAACAGAUGCUAAUACCGCAUAACAACUUGGACCGCAUGGUCCGAGUUUGAAAGAUGGCUUCGGCUAUCACUUUUGGAUGGUCCCGCGGCGUAUUAGCUAGAUGGUGGGGUAACGGCUCACCAUGGCAAUGAUACGUAGCCGACCUGAGAGGGUAAUCGGCCACAUUGGGACUGAGACACGGCCCAAACUCCUACGGGAGGCAGCAGUAGGGAAUCUUCCACAAUGGACGAAAGUCUGAUGGAGCAACGCCGCGUGAGUGAAGAAGGGUUUCGGCUCGUAAAACUCUGUUGUUAAAGAAGAACAUAUCUGAGAGUAACUGUUCAGGUAUUGACGGUAUUUAACCAGAAAGCCACGGCUAACUACGUGCCAGCAGCCGCGGUAAUACGUAGGUGGCAAGCGUUGUCCGGAUUUAUUGGGCGUAAAGCGAGCGCAGGCGGUUUUUUAAGUCUGAUGUGAAAGCCUUCGGCUCAACCGAAGAAGUGCAUCGGAAACUGGGAAACUUGAGUGCAGAAGAGGACAGUGGAACUCCAUGUGUAGCGGUGAAAUGCGUAGAUAUAUGGAAGAACACCAGUGGCGAAGGCGGCUGUCUGGUCUGUAACUGACGCUGAGGCUCGAAAGUAUGGGUAGCAAACAGGAUUAGAUACCCUGGUAGUCCAUACCGUAAACGAUGAAUGCUAAGUGUUGGAGGGUUUCCGCCCUUCAGUGCUGCAGCUAACGCAUUAAGCAUUCCGCCUGGGGAGUACGGCCGCAAGGCUGAAACUCAAAGGAAUUGACGGGGGCCCGCACAAGCGGUGGAGCAUGUGGUUUAAUUCGAAGCUACGCGAAGAACCUUACCAGGUCUUGACAUACUAUGCAAAUCUAAGAGAUUAGACGUUCCCUUCGGGGACAUGGAUACAGGUGGUGCAUGGUUGUCGUCAGCUCCUGUCCUGAGAAGUUUGGGUUAAGUCCCCCAACCAAGC
rnacentral:rRNA from 1 species